AUUGAACGCUGGCGGCAUGCUUUACACAUGCAAGUCGAACGGUAACAGGCCGCAAGGUGCUGACGAGUGGCGAACGGGUGAGUAAUGCAUCGGAACGUGCCCAGUCGUGGGGGAUAACGCAGCGAAAGCUGCGCUAAUACCGCAUACGAUCUAUGGGUGAAAGCGGGGGACCGUAAGGCCUCGCGCGAUUGGAGCGGCCGAUGUCAGAUUAGGUAGUUGGUGGGGUAAAGGCUCACCAAGCCAACGAUCUGUAGCUGGUCUGAGAGGACGACCAGCCACACUGGGACUGAGACACGGCCCAGACUCCUACGGGAGGCAGCAGUGGGGAAUUUUGGACAAGGGGCGCAAGCCUGAUCCAGCAAUGCCGCGUGCAGGAAGAAGGCCUUCGGGUUGUAAACUGCUUUUGUACGGAACGAAACGGUCCUGGUUAAUACCUGGGGCUAAUGACGGUACCGUAAGAAUAAGCACCGGCUAACUACGUGCCAGCCGCCGCCGUAAGAC
rnacentral:rRNA from 1 species